GGCGGAGGAGGAGGACGCGGAGCUUCGCGGCGGGCUUGAGGAGGGCGACGGGGAGGUGAGGAGGGGCUUGAGGAGGAGAGAGAAAGAGGAGAGAGAAAGAGGAGGCGAGACGACGGUGGGGGUGGGCUCGGCGGCGGCGGCGGGGGAGAGGAGGAGGGGUUCGGCUUGCGGAGGCGGAGGAGGGGCUCGGCGGCGGGCUCGAAAAAAGAACGAAAAAAAAAAAAUAACGGAAGAAACGAAGAGGAGAGAGAAAGAGGAAAGAGAAAAAGUAAUAAGGGUAUUUUGGUCAGUUUACUAAAACAACGGACUGAAUCUGUAAAAACGAAAAAAGUGACCCGAUUUUGCAAAAGCCCAAAAUAAGUGGAUUUUUUAUGC
rnacentral:lncRNA from 1 species